GAUCAAAAAACUACAACACCCUAAUUCGGAAAGGUACUAAUCUUCCUCGCUGCCUUUAACAUCUUCCUCACUUUCUUCAUCGUCUUCCUGAUUCUCCUGCUUGCUUCCUUUCUGUUUUUUCUUGUCACCAACAGUUCCUAGGGAAAACCGAGUUGAAAGAGCAAUGAAAAAUGAAUACAUGUUCUGAGCCUGGUAAGUUAGGUUCUAUAGGAAAGAGAAGAGAACUGGUCGUAUUAGGGAUGACCUCUUCUCACUGUGUUGUUCAUAAAGACAAUAAGCCUUCUCUGAUACAGAAAUGAAAACAAAAC
rnacentral:lncRNA from 1 species